UACAGAGGGUGCAAGCGUUGUUCGGAAUUAUUGGGCGUAAAGAGCGUGUAGGCGGUUUGGUAGGUCCGCUGUGAAAACUCGAGGCUCAACCUCGAGACGCCGGUGGAAACCAUCAGACUAGAGUCCGGAAGAGGAGAGUGGAAUUCCCGGUGCAGCGGUGAAAUGCGCAGAUAUCAGGAGGAACACCAAUGGCGAAGGCAGCACUCUGGGACGUGACUGACGCUGAGACGCGAAAGCGUGGGGAGCAAACAGG
rnacentral:rRNA from 1 species